rnacentral:rRNA from 1 species
AGCGAACGCUGGCGGCAGGCCUAACACACGCAAGUCGAGCGAACUCUUCGGAGUUAGUGGCGGACGGGUGAGUAACACGUGGGAACGUGCCUUUUGGUUCGGAAUAACUCAGGGAAACUUGUGCUAAUACCGAAUGUGCCCUUCGGGGGAAAGAUUUAUCGCCAUUAGAGCGGCCCGCGUCUGAUUAGCUAGUUGGUGAGGUAACGGCUCACCAAGGCGACGAUCAGUAGCUGGUCUGAGAGGAUGACCAGCCACACUGGGACUGAGACACGGCCCAGACUCCUACGGGAGGCAGCAGUGGGGAAUCUUGCGCAAUGGGCGAAAGCCUGACGCAGCCAUGCCGCGUGAAUGAUGAAGGUCUUAGGAUUGUAAAAUUCUUUCACCGGGGACGAUAAUGACGGUACCCGGAGAAGAAGCCCCGGCUAACUUCGUG